rnacentral:rRNA from 1 species
GAUGAACGCUGGCGGCGUGCCUAAUACAUGCAAGUCGAGCGAACAGAUGAGGAGCUUGCUCCUCUGACGUUAGCGGCGGACGGGUGAGUAACACGUGGAUAACCUACCUAUAAGACUGGGAUAACUUCGGGAAACCGGAGCUAAUACCGGAUAAUAUAUUGAACCGCAUGGUUCAAUAGUGAAAGACGGUUUUGCUGUCACUUAUAGAUGGAUCCGCGCCGCAUUAGCUAGUUGGUAAGGUAACGGCUUACCAAGGCAACGAUGCGUAGCCGACCUGAGAGGGUGAUCAGUCACACUGGAACUGAGACACGGUCCAGACUCCUACGGGAGGGAGGAGUGGGGAAUAUUUGAGAAUGGGCGAAAGCCUGAUCGAGCAAUGCCGCGGGGGGGAAGAAGGUCUUCGGAUUGUAAAAACCUUUUAUUUGGGAAGAAAAGAAGUAAGUAAAAACUUUGCUGGUUUGAAGGUAACCAAAGAAGAAGCCCCGGCUAAAUUCGUG